UCAGUGCCCAUUGCGGAUGUUGCGAGGAAAGAACUAAAUUUGGAAAAUUCUUUUACAUUAUUCUGGAGAAAGUAUAACUUUGAUAUUUUUUUUUUUUGCAUUUAACGGAGUAGAAAAUGCCUCAACUUCAGUCCGUCAAGCGCCUUAAGCAUUUGCAACUGAUUUUCAUAUGUUGUCUAAUAUUUUACUGGAUUCACAAUGUGAGUGGCGCAAUACGCCGCGUACCCGAACGUUCGCGAAUACCAUGUGAAAAUCCUGAACCGCUACCAAAUGGUUUUUCAGCGCCGCGACGUCGCAACAUGAUGCUGUUACACUAUUGCAAUUACGGCUUCAAGUUGUUCGGUGAUCGGCGUACGACAUGCAACCGCGGCAAAUGGGUUGGCAAUCGUCCAAUAUGUGCAAGCAAUGUAUGUAGUAGUCCAACGAAGAAUCCAGAAAAUGGCCGAAUACAAUAUGUGGAUCAGUAUCAUAUCGGUGUCUACUGUUCGGAAGGCUUUGAAUUGGCUGGUAACCGAUAUGCAUAUUGCAACGGCACCGAUUGGGAUCGUCCGCUGGGUUAUUGUAGACGGCGCCCCGGCAGAGUGAGUCAUGAAUGUGAUUUUGAGCCAGACGACAUGUGCGGUUGGGUUACAGACAUAGCCGACGGUUUCCAAUGGAAACGCACCAUGGCCACUAAUGUGUUCACCUCAUUUCACACGGGACCGCGUCACGAUCACACUACAAUGCAAGCCAGCGGUGGUCACUAUAUGCUGAUGGAAAGUUUCGGUGCCACAUCAACGCCAGCCGCCCUCACCUCACCCAUAUAUGAACGUGCGAUAAGCUUGAAGACUGCAUGUUGCUUUCAAUUUUACUAUUUAAUGUAUGGCGCUGGUGUUGGCAAUUUAAGAGUCUACAUUAAACCGUUGACGAAAAUGCUAUCGGAAGUUAUUGACGACAAAGAAACCUAUUUAAAAUUCACCAAGUCUGGCAAUCAGAAUAAUAACUGGAACGAGGCGCACUUUAGUAUCGACGAACAGGAAGACGAUUUUCAAAUAGUAUUCGUCGCGGAUGGCGCUAAGAAUCACUUAAGCGACAUCGCUAUAGACGAUGUGAAAUUAAUGUUCGGUACCGAGUGUAAGGCUUUGGAUAAUCAUGAUGAUGAACCUGAUGACUCCGCCGAGUAUGAACCCACCACUACAGAACUAUCACUGUUUGACACUUUGUCGUGCGUGUCACGUUGCGGCACUGAGACGAAUAGCGGUAUAAUGCGUAAUGCUACACAUUUGAUAGGUCUUUGCAGUUGUCACGAUAGUUGUAUAGCGGACGAUGAUUGCUGUCCGGACUAUACGAAAGUGUGUCUCGAUGCGCCUCCGGAGUCGUCAACGGUAAAUAUACCGGAAACUACAACAACUACGGUUAGAAGUGAUACGAAAUCGACAACAACAACGUUAAAAGAAAUUAUAAUCGCAAAACCAACAACCACUUCAAGCACAACAACAACCACAACAACAACAACCCAAAAACCCACUACAACAACCAAAAAACCCACAACAACAAGUACAACCACUACAACCUUGCCUCCGACUACAUCAACCACACGUAAGCCGACAACAAUAGCAAAAACCACAACCACAACACGUAAGCCGACAACAACGAGCACGCGCAAGCCGAUAACCAUCUCAUCCACAACACCGAAACCAAAGCCUACAACUACUAAACGCACAACACCCUCAACAACAACAACAACAACUACUACCACUACAAUUCGUACAAUUCCAACAACAGUAACGUCGUCUACAAAACGCUCCACUACGUCAACCACAACCUUACCUGCGACUCAGCCUUACACACUCUACACACAACCUAUUUUAAGCGUGACCACUGUCGCAAAUAUUAACCGCAAAACUGCCCCAGGCGAGACCAAGGAAUUGUCAACAAGUCAUCCAACAGAGGCUCAGAGCUGUUUGACUAUUGCAUACUUUCAGGCAUCGAAUUUCAUCAGUGGCUCUAUAGAUUAUUUUUGGAUUACUAUAUGUAUACUUGGAUGCGGUUAAAUACUUGACAUAAGCUUGAUUUUCAUUUAGUGAAUGAAUUGCACACAUUACAAGCGAAAAGCAGUGGGAGAGAUCGAGUGUGAACGGGUGAAUAAGUAACAUCUGUCAAUUAACAGCACGCUGUCGUAGAACAUCAGGUGAACAUAAGUCAACUACAUGCAAACAUGCAGCAACAAAUACUGUAAACAAAAACAUACCUAAUGAUGUUGUGAGCACAAUUCGCAACAACACAGUGAAAAUAACUGCCUACAGAGACUUACUCUUAUUUUGCAUAGGGACAAAUGGAAACGAAAGGAAUGCGUACGUGACUUUAUUGGAAAGGAUGAAUGUAUGCACAUAAGUAUUUGCUCGAAAAUAUUGUGAACUGCUGCGUGGAUGGCUGCGCUAAAACUUCUUUUUGAUCACCUAACAUUAUGACGAUUUAUUUGAUAUGAGCGAUCAGUAAGCAGGUGAGCAGGAGAAAAUAAAUGUGUUAGUUCAAAUCUACCAGCGCACUAUUGUCUUAUAUGGAAUAUCUCCGAAAUGCAAGGAAGCUGUAAACUGAUUUCUCUACCUCCAAAAAUGAAAGCCCGUUUUAGGAGAUCGCACAGAAUCUUAAGCAGGAGCAUUAAAAUUAGCAUUUGCUGUAAUAGGUCCCGAACUGACUCUCGUGGAAUCGCUUUGUGAUCAUCUACUUCAAAAUGCGAAACAAGCUGACAGAAAUGCAUUUAAAUAUUGAUCUGUUAUUAUGAUAUGAAAAACAUUUUAAGUGACUC